ensembl:lncRNA
CUAUAGGGUGUGUAUAUAGGGGAUUUGGGCCCUAUAGGGUGUGUAUAUAGGGCUGUGUGCCCUAUAGGGUGUGUAUAUAGGGGAUUUGGGCCCUAUAGGGUGUGUAUAUAGGGCUGUGAGCCCUAUAGGGUGUGUGUAUAGGGGUUAUGUGCCUUAUAGGGUGUGUAUAUAGGGCUGUGAGCCCUAUAGGGUGUGUGUAUAGGGCUGUUUGCACAGGCUGUGCCAACGCCAUCCAUUAUGGAUGUGCCUAUAGGGGCCGUGUGCUUAUAGGGCCGCGGGCGCUAUAGGGCCCCGCGUGGGAGGGCC